CCUACGGGAGGCAGCAGUGAGGAAUAUUGGUCAAUGGGCGGAAGCCUGAACCAGCCAAGUAGCGUGCAGGAUGACGGCCCUACGGGUGGUAAGCUGCUUUUAUACGGGAAUAACGCGCCUUACGUGUAGGGCUUUGCAUGUACCGUAUGAAUAAGGACCGGCUAAUGCCGUGCCAGCAGCCGCGGUAAUACGGAGGGUCCGGGCGUUAUCCGGAUUUAUUGGGUUUAAAGGGAGCGUAGGCCGCAUGUCAAGCGUGCUGUGAAAUGGCCGGGCUCAACCCGGGCCUUGCAGCGGGAACUGGAGUGCUUGAGUCCGCGGAAGGCAGGCGGAAUUCGUCGUGUAGCGGUGAAAUGCUUAGAUAUGACGAAGAACCCCGAUUGCGAAGGCAGCUUGCUGCAGCGGAACUGACGCUGAUGCUCGAAAGCGCGGGUAUCGAACAGGAUUAGAUACCCGGGUAGUC
rnacentral:rRNA from 1 species